rnacentral:rRNA from 1 species
UACGAGGGGGGCGAGCGUUGUUCGGAAUUAUUGGGCGUAAAGGGUGCGUAGGCGGUUCCGCAAGUCCUGUGUGAAAUCUUCGGGCUCAACUCGAAGUCUGCACGGGAAACUGCGGGGCUUGAGUGUGGGAGAGGUGAGUGGAAUUCCCGGUGUAGCGGUGAAAUGCGUAGAGAUCCGGAGGAACACCAGCGGCGAAGGCGGCAUCCUGGACUGGUCCUGACACUCAGGAGCGAAAGCGUGGGGAGGCGAGUCCGG